GACGAACGCUGGCGGCGUGCUUAACACAUGCAAGUCGAACGGAAAGGCCCUGCUUGCCGGGUACUCGAGUGGCGAACGGGUGAGUAACACGUGGGUGAUCUGCCCUGCACUUCGGGAUAAGCCUGGGAAACUGGGUCUAAUACCGGAUAGGAGCCAUUUUUAGUGUGAUGGUUGGAAAGUUUUUUCGGUGUAGGAUGAGCUCGCGGCCUAUCAGCUUGUUGGUGGGGUAAUGGCCUACCAAGGCGGCGACGGGUAGCCGGCCUGAGAGGGUGGACGGCCACAAUGGGACUGAGAUACGGCCCAGACUCCUACGGGAGGCAGCAGUGGGGAAUAUUGCACAAUGGGCGCAAGCCUGAUGCAGCGACGCCGCGGGGGGGAUGACGGCCUUCGGGUUGUAAACUCCUUUCGCUAGGGACGAAGCUUUUUGUGACGGUACCUAGAGAAGAAGCACCGGCUAACUACGUG
rnacentral:rRNA from 1 species